rnacentral:tRNA from 1 species
GCGAAGGUGGUGGAAACGGUAGACACGCAUGCCUCAGGAGCAUGUGCUCGUAAGGGCAUGGGGGUUCAAGUCCCCCCCUUCGCACCA